GAGGGACUUUGUGCUGAACGCGCCUAGGCGCACCCCAGAAACCCUUUGUGAACUUAUACCUUACUGUUUGCUUGGGCCGCUUGCUGGUUCUUCACAGGCCCUUUGCUUCACAGGCAAAGAGACGGCACGGCGGGCCGGCCCAAAUCAACCUCCUGUUUUUACAACCUGAAACUCUGAGAAAAAACACAAAAUGAAUCAAAACUUUCAACAACGGGAUCUCUUGGUUCUGGCAUCGAUGAAGAACGCCAGCGAAAUGCGAUAAGUAAUGUGAAUUGCAGAAUUCAGUGAAUCAUCGAAUCUUUGAACGCACAUUGCGCCCUCUGGUAUUCCGGAGGGCAUGCCUGUUCGAGCGUUCCAUUUCAACCCUCAAGCAUUGCUUGGUGUUGGGGGCAACUGCUUUAACCAAGCAGGCCCCUGAAAUCUAGUGGCAGAGCUCGCACAGGACCCCGAGCGCAGGUAAGAUUAACCCUCAGCUCUGGAAGGCCCUGGCGGUGCCUGACCGUUAAAACACCCCAACUUCUGAAAAUUUGACCAUCGGAUCGUAGGAAUACCCGAUGACUUAGCCUAUCAAAUAAGCGAGAAAA
rnacentral:sRNA from 1 species